UACGUAGGGUGCAGGCGUUAAUCGGAAUUACUGGGCGUAAAGCGUGCGCAGGCGGUUUGCUAAGACGGGUGUGAAAUCCCCGGGCUUAACCUGGGAACUGCGCUUGUUACUGGCAGGCUUGAGUGUGGCAGAGGGGGGUGGAAUUCCACGUGUAGCAGUGAAAUGCGUAGAGAUCCGGAGGAACACCAGAGGCGAAGGCGGCCUACUGGGCUGCACCUGACGCUGAGCCGCGAAAGCCAGGGGAGCGAACGGG
rnacentral:rRNA from 1 species